ACCCUCCUAACAGCUAGCCUCCCCUCCAAAAACAACAAACAUCAUUAAUAACCCCACAUUAACGACACAAAAAGCAACAAAUCAUUUUUCCUCCCUAGUAUGGGUGACAGAAAAG
rnacentral:rRNA from 1 species